GUUUGAUCCUGGCUCAGGACGAACGCUGGCGGCGUGCCUAACACAUGCAAGUCGAACGAGGUCCAUGCAGUGGCAACACUGCGGAAAACCUAGUGGCGAACGGGUGAGUAACACGUGAGGAACCUGCCCCGAAGACCGGGAUAACCCUCCGAAAAGGAGAGCUAAUACCGGAUACCCCCACCGGAUCGCAUGAUCUGGUGAGGAAAUGGAUUCCGCUUCGGGAGGGCCUCGCGGCCUAUCAGCUUGUUGGUGGGGUAACGGCCCACCAAGGCAUCGACGGGUAGCUGGUCUGAGAGGACGAUCAGCCACACUGGGACUGAGACACGGCCCAGACUCCUACGGGAGGCAGCAGUGGGGAAUCUUGCGCAAUGGGCGAAAGCCUGACGCAGCAACGCCGCGUGGGGGAUGAAGGCUCUCGGGUUGUAAACCCCUUUCAGCAGGGACGAAUCAAGACGGUACCUGCAGAAGAAGCCCCGGCUAACUACGUGCCAGCAGCCGCGGUAACACGUAGGGGGCAAGCGUUGUCCGGA
rnacentral:rRNA from 1 species